UACGAAGGGGGCUAGCGUUGUUCGGAAUUACUGGGCGUAAAGCGUGCGCAGGCGGCUUCUCAAGUCAGGGGUGAAAGCCCAGAGCUCAACUCUGGAAUUGCCUUUGAGACUGAGUGGCUUGAGUACGAGAGAGGUGAGUGGAAUUCCCAGUGUAGAGGUGAAAUUCGUAGAUAUCGGGAGGAACACCUGUGGCGAAAGCGGCGCACUGGACCAUAACUGACGCUGAUGCGCGAAAGCUAGGGGAGCAAACAGG
rnacentral:rRNA from 1 species